rnacentral:tRNA from 1 species
GGUCGCAUAGCUCAGUCGGUAGAGCAAAGGACUGAAAAUCCUUGUGUCCUUAGUUCAAUUCUAAGUGCGACCA